rnacentral:rRNA from 1 species
AUUGAACGCUGGCGGCAUGCCUUACACAUGCAAGUCGAACGGCAGCAUAGGAGCUUGCUCCUGAUGGCGAGUGGCGAACGGGUGAGUAAUAUAUCGGAACGUGCCCUAGAGUGGGGGAUAACUAGUCGAAAGACUAGCUAAUACCGCAUACGAUCUACGGAUGAAAGUGGGGGAUCGCAAGACCUCAUGCUCCUGGAGCGGCCGAUAUCUGAUUAGCUAGUUGGUGGGGUAAAAGCCUACCAAGGCAACGAUCAGUAGCUGGUAUGUGAGGACGACCAGCCACACUGGGACUGAGACACGGCCCAGACUCCUACGGGAGGCAGCAGUGGGGAAUUUUGGACAAUGGGAGCAACCCUGAUCCAGCAAUGCCGCGUGAGUGAAGAAGGCCUUCGGGUUGUAAAGCUCUUUUGUCAGGGAAGAAACGGUAGUAGCGAAUAACUAUUACUAAUGACGGUACCUGAAGAAUAAGCACCGGCUAACUACGUGCCAGCAGCCGCGGUAA